rnacentral:rRNA from 1 species
GAGUUUGAUCCUGGCUCAGGAUGAACGCUGGCGGCGUGCUUAACACAUGCAAGUCGAGCGAAGCACUAAGACGGAUUUCUUUGGAUUGAAGUCUUUGUGACUAAGCGGCGGACGGGUGAGUAACACGUGGAUAACCUGCCUUAUACUGGGGGAUAACAGCCAGAAAUGGCUGCUAAUACCGCAUAAGCGCACGGCGCCGCAUGGCGCAGUGUGAAAAACUCCGGUGGUAUAAGAUGGAUCCGCGCCUGAUUAGCUAGUUGGCGGGGCAGCGGCCCACCAAGGCGACGAUCAGUAGCCGGCCUGAGAGGGCGACCGGCCACAUUGGGACUGAGACACGGCCCAAACUCCUACGGGAGGCAGCAGUGGGGAAUAUUGCACAAUGGGGGGAACCCUGAUGCAGCGACGCCGCGUGAGUGAAGAAGUAUUUCGGUAUGUAAAGCUCUAUCAGCAGGGAAGAAGAUGACGGUACCUGACUAAGAAGCCCCGGCUAACUACGUGCCAGCAGCCGCGGUAAUACGUAGGGGGCAAGCGUUAUCCGGAUUUACUGGGUGUAAAGGGAGCGUAGACGGCAGGGCAAGUCUGGAGUGAAAGCCCGGGGCCCAACCCCGGGACUGCUUUGGAAACUGCCAUGCUAGAGUGCUGGAGAGGUAAGCGGAAUUCCUGGUGUAGCGGUGAAAUGCGUAGAUAUUAGGAGGAACACCAGUGGCGAAGGCGGCUUACUGGACAGUAACUGACGUUGAGGCUCGAAAGCGUGGGGAGCAAACAGGAUUAGAUACCCUGGU